UACGAAGGGGGCUAGCGUUGUUCGGAAUCACUGGGCGUAAAGCGCACGCAGGCGGAUCGUUAAGUCAGGGGUGAAAUCCCGAGGCUCAACCUCGGAACUGCCUUUGAUACUGGCGAUCUUUGAGUCCGGGAGAGGUGAGUGGAACUCCGAGUGUAGAGGUGAAAUUCGUAGAUAUUCGCAAGAACACCAGUGGCGAAGGCGGCUCACUGGCCCGAUACUGACGCUGAGGCACGAAAGCGUGGGGAGCAACAGGG
rnacentral:rRNA from 1 species